UAAACGACUCUCGGCAACGGAUAUCUCGGCUCUUGCAUCGAUGAAGAACGUAGCGAAAUGCGAUACUUGGUGUGAAUUGCAGAAUCCCGUGAACCAUCGAGUCUUUGAACGCAAGUUGCGCCUGAAGCCACUAGGUUGAAGGCACGUCUGCCUGGGCGUCACGC
rnacentral:rRNA from 1 species